AUUGAACGCUGGCGGCAUGCUUUACACAUGCAAGUCGAACGGCAGCGCGGGCUUCGGCCUGGCGGCGAGUGGCGAACGGGUGAGUAAUGCAUCGGAACGUGCCCAGGAGUGGGGGAUAGGCCGGCGAAAGCCGGAUUAAUACCGCAUACGACCUGAGGGGGAAAGCGGGGGACCGAAAGGCCUCGCGCUAUUGGAGCGGCCGAUGUCGGAUUAGGUAGUUGGUGGGGUAAAGGCUUACCAAGGCGACGAUCCGUAGCUGGUCUGAGAGGACGACCAGCCACACUGGGACUGAGACACGGCCCAGACUCCUACGGGAGGCAGCAGUGGGGAAUUUUGGACAAUGGGGGCAACCCUGAUCCAGCCAUGCCGCGUGCGGGAAGAAGGCCUUCGGGUUGUAAACCGCUUUUGUUCGGGAAGAAAUCCUCUGGGCUAAUACCCCGGGGGGAUGACGGUACCGGAAGAAUAAGCACCGGCUAACUCCGUG
rnacentral:rRNA from 1 species